UGCGGGGUAGAGCAGUCUGGUAGCUCGUCGGGCUCAUAACCCGGAGGUCGCAGGUUCGAAUCCUGUCCCCGCUACCA
rnacentral:tRNA from 3 species